UUCUGGUUGAUCCUGCCGGACCUGACUGCUAUCGGAUUGAUACUAAGCCAUGCGAGUCGUUGUAGCAAUACAAGGCAUACGGCUCAGUAACGCGUAGUCAACCUAACCUAUGGACGGGAAUAACCUCGGGAAACUGAGAAUAAUGCCCGAUAGAACAUUAUGCCUGGAAUGGUCUAUGUUCCAAAUGAUUUAUCGCCAUAGGAUGGGACUGCGGCCUAUCAGUUUGUUGGUGAGGUAAUGGCCCACCAAGACUAUUACAGGUACGGGCUCUGAGAGGAGUAGCCCGGAGAUGGGUACUGAGACACGGACCCAGGCCCUAUGGGGCGCAGCAGGCGAGAAAACUUUGCAAUGUGCGAAAGCACGACAAGGUUAAUCCGAGUGAUUUCUGCUAAAGAGAUCUUUUGUUAGUCCUAGAAACACUAACGAAUAAGGGGUGGGCAAGUUCUGGUGUCAGCCGCCGCGGUAAAACCAGCACCUCAAGUGGUCAGGAUGAUUAUUGGGCCUAAAGCAUCCGUAGCCGGCUCUGUAAGUUUUCGGUUAAAUCUGUACGCUCAACGUACAGGCUGCCGGGAAUACUGCAGAACUAGGGAGUGGGAGAGGUAGACGGUACUCGGUAGGAAGUGGUAAAAUGCUUUGAUCUAUCGAUGACCACCUGUGGCGAAGGCGGUCUACCAGAACACGUCCGACGGUGAGGGAUGAAAGCUGGGGGAGCAAACCGGAUUAGAUACCCGGGUAGUCCCAGCUGUAAACUAUGCAAACUCAGUGAUGCAUUGGCUUGUGGCCAAUGCAGUGCUGCAGGGAAGCCGUUAAGUUUGCCGCCUGGGAAGUACGUACGCAAGUAUGAAACUUAAAGGAAUUGGCGGGGGAGCACCACAAGGGGUGAAGCCUGCGGUUCAAUU
rnacentral:rRNA from 1 species